UUUCCGUAGGUGAACCUGCGGAAGGAUCAUUACAGUAGUCACCCAGGUUGCCGCAAGGCCUCCUGGGUAACCUACCACCCUUUGUUUAUUACACUUUGUUGCUUUGGCAAGCCUGCCCUCGGGCUGCUGGCUCCGGCCGGCGAGCGCUUGCCAGAGGACCUAAACUCUGUUUGUCUAUACUGUCUGAGUAUUAUAUAAUAGUUAAAACUUUCAACAACGGAUCUCUUGGUUCUG
rnacentral:misc_RNA from 1 species